GGACGAACAAAACAAACGCGACCCAGACCACACACACCAGACCCGACUCCUACAACUGAGGAGGGACCUAGCGACCAUACUGCAUUCCAAACACCACAGGGAGGCACUUAGAAACAAGGCCUUCUUUACCCUACAUGGGAACAAGAGUGGCAAGCUCCUCGCUACGAUGCUGAGGAAACAGAGACAGCACACAUACAUCGACAAGAUCAG